GUCUGACCCUUAUUUUUGUUUUUUUAGGAUUGUCUACCUCUGCAUCGAGCCAAAUUCCUAGACUGGUUGGUGCUGUCUCAUGGGAUCCCUGUGACUGACAAAGGAGAGCUUGUUGUGACUGCUCUGCAAUGACUACAGCAAGAUAUAGGCCUACCUGGGACUUGGUUCUUGACCCGUUAGUGUCCUGCAAGCUCUGCCUUGGUGAAUAUCCUGUGGAGCAGAUGACAACAAUAGCACAAUGCCAAUGCAUCUUCUGUACUCUGAAUUACCAACAAAAGAGACAGCUCCUUAUUGUUGCUGUUUGAAAAAGAAGCAGUGUGAACAGCUCAGAUUCUAAUACAUGUCAUACUCCAAAAAAUCCAAGUUGUCACAAAGAGCUUUCCCUUUGAUGUUCCAUGGGAAAAGAGAUGAAUACACAAGCAGGUAAACAGA